rnacentral:rRNA from 1 species
UACGUAGGUGGCGAGCGUUGUCCGGAAUUACUGGGCGUAAAGGGUGCGUAGGCGGGAUAAUAAGUUAGAUGUGAAAGCCCCAGGCUUAACCUGGGGACUGCAUUUAAAACUGUUAUUCUAGAGUGCAGGAGAGGUAAGUGGAAUUCCUAGUGUAGCGGUGAAAUGCGUAGAUAUUAGGAAGAACAUCAGUGGCGAAGGCGGCUUACUGGACUGUAACUGACGCUGAGGCACGAAAGCGUGGGGAGCAAAC